AGUCAUUAUCUCACUUCUUCCCGUCUCUUCCACCCAUUUUUGGAAUUCUCCAGAAACUCUCUCACUCCAUCCCUCUCUUUCCUUCCUCGUACCACACACACAACCGACCCGGCGUUAAAGCCACAUUAUCCGGCCAACCCAAAAUCAUCAAACCAACUUUUGAAUGGUUUCAAAGGAGUGGCGCUAAAAUUACAAGAGAUAAUGUUAUCUGAGGAUGCAACCUGAUACGGGUCAAGGUGAAGGGGAUGAGGAUGAAGAUGUUGACAAGAAUGAUAUAGAAAAGCACAAUGGAGAAUGUGAUUGUGAAGGAAGGAUUCAGGGAUUUGAAGGGCACUAAGUUCAGACAUGCAAGACUGUGAGAUCAGACCCCAAGAAAAGAGCUAGAGCAGGGAUCCAGAUAACAAAGGGGCCAAGGCAGAGUCAUGAGAGGCCCCAAGGAGCAACUUGAGGAAAGUGUCGAUCAAAACUAUUGUAUAGAACAAUUUUCCAAAUGUAUUCAGUGUAAAUAGUAAUGUUUUGAAGCGCAAUCUUUUAUAUCUUGCAAACAUAAUUUUUUAUACAAUUUUCAAUUGCAAACA